rnacentral:rRNA from 1 species
GUCCACGCCUUAAACGAUGAAUACUAGAUGUUGGGGUUAAACUCAGUAUCGCAGCUAACGCAUUAAGUAUUCCACCUGGGGAGUACGAUCGCAAGGUUGAAACUCAAAGGAAUUGACGGGGGCCCGCACAAGCAGUGGAGCAUGUGGUUCAAUUCGAUGCAACGCGAAGAACCUUACCUAGGCUUGACAUGAUAGCUAAAGCCGGUGAAAGCCGGUGUCCCGCAAGGGGAGCUAUUACAGAUGCUGCAUGGCUGUCGU